GUUCCAUUUAUUCAGUUGACUCCAAAUACAAAACUACCACAUAUAAUAAAAAGAAUCAAGAUUAUUCUGAUGCAUACUGGCGGUUAGUAAAAUGUACCUAAAUAUGCCGGCUGUUGCGGUUUUGAAAAAGUACCAAAAACCGAUACCGCAACUGAGUUAGCCAGUGAUCGAAAUUAGCUGAAUUCAUAUUAGAAGACGGAUUUCUGUCUAAGACGGGAAACUCGUGUGACGUAUUUCCGUCUGGUAUAAGUAUGAAACGAAAACUAUCGGACAGAUUGAUUGGUAAUAUACAAUUACUUUAUGGUUUCCGUGCUUGGAUGGCCUGAUCCAAACACGCGGGAAUGUUGCGAGAGUUAAGAAAAGCGAGCGAAAUCACGAGCCGAAGGCGAGUGAUUUUGCCCGCUUUUCUUAACUCGAGCAACAUUCCCAAGUUUUUGGAUCAGUCCAUCCAAACACGGAAACCAUAAAGUAAUUGUUUUAUAAAAUAACAACAACACGAUAGUCUUCCGUGUUUGGAUGGCCUGAUCCAAACACGGCUUUUGACCAAUCAGAAC